rnacentral:rRNA from 1 species
GAUGAACGCUAGCUACAGGCUUAACACAUGCAAGUCGAGGGGUAACAAGAGAAAAGCUUGCUUUUCUUGUUGACGACCGGCGCACGGGUGAGUAACGCGUAUCCAACCUGCCUAUAACUAGGGAAUAACCUUGCGAAAGUAAGACUAAUACCCUAUGAUUUCCUUUGAUGACAUCAGAUUAGGAAUAAAGAUUUAUCGGUUAUAGAUGGGGAGGCGUCUGAUUAGCUUGUUGGCGGGGUAACGGCCCACCAAGGCAACGAUCAGUAGGGGUUCGGAGAGGAAGGUCACCCACAUUGGAACUGAGACACGGUCCAAACGCCUACGGGAGGCAGCAGUGAGGAAUAUUGGUCAAUGGGCGGAAGCCUGAACCAGCCAAGUAGCGUGCAGGAUGACGGCCCUAUGGGUUGUAAACUGCUUUUAUACAGGAAUAAAGUUAGCCACGUGUGGUUAUUUGUAGGUACUGUAUGAAUAAGGACCGGCUAAUUCCGUGCCAGCCGCCGCGGUAA